rnacentral:rRNA from 1 species
AUGGCGCCCUCCAAGCCCGCCCUCUUCCUCGCUCUGAACCUGGUCCUCGUGGCAGCUGCGCAUGGCUGCGGGUCGUACUGCGGCAACACACCGGCCGUCCCAGUGCCAACCCCGCCGAUCGCCGUGCCCCCACCGGCCGUCCCAGUCCCAACCCCGCCGACGACCGGAGGAGGCAGCGGCACCUGCUCGAUCAACACGCUGAAGCUGAAGGCGUGCGCCAACGUACUGAACCUGCUAAAGCUCAACCUAGGUGUGCCGGCGAGCAAGGACUGCUGCCCGCUGCUGGGCGGGCUCGCCGACCUCGACGCCGCCGUCUGCCUCUGCACCGCCAUCAAGGCCAACGUCCUCGGCAUCAAGCUCAAUGUCCCCAUCGACCUCGUCCUCCUCCUCAAUGUCCCCAGCCGACUUCACCUGCCCCAGCUGAUUCACCCAUCAUCCAUUGAUCGAUGCAUCACAAACCAUGCAUCGUCAUCAUCACACUUAUCAUACGCAUGCACCUACGUAUUUUGUUUUCUGUUCCAGUUCGUCGUCAUCGCACUCGUCGCUCAUGGAUGCAUGCGUUUAGGUGUUCAUUUCUUCCAGGGACUGCUUAUAAAAUAG